UACCCUUCCUUCUUCCAAGCUGUGUGGUCCUUGAUCAUUUGUACCAAUAUCAAGAUCCCUGUAAUUCAAAUAGGCUUGUCUUGGGUUCUUUGAAACAAAUGGGGUCAUAAAACUGUAUAAAUCUCUUAUCUGUGUAAGGUACUCUUUUUCUGCAGCUGCACCUUCUUCGUUCCAAUUCACUGAGUACUGAAUCUUGAAUAGAAUCCCUGCUCUGUGUGGAAAUGGUGUUUCGCCCUCGGGAAUUUCAGUCAUUCUCCCUCCGUAAGGAUUGAACACUAAUCCCGCUUUGCCCAAAGAAAUCAUCUUCUGGAAAAUUGACUCCAACACAUCUCUGGGAAUUGGCUCUUGCACGUAAUCCGAUUUUCUUUUCAAGAAAUUCAAUGGAUCCCCUGUUCUGUUCAACAAAGCAAUUGGUUUUGUUUUGUUGUCGAAAUUUGCCCAUUGAAGAAAGAUGCUCUUUUUCUGCAGCUGCUCCUUCUUCGUUCCAAUUCACUGAGUACUGAAUCUUGAAUAGAAUCCCUGCUCUGUAUGGAAAUGGUGUUUCGUCUUCGCCAAUUUCACCAUUCUCCCUCCAUAAGGAUUGAAAACUAUUC
rnacentral:lncRNA from 1 species